AAUUUAAAGUCUAAUCUGCCCNCUGAUAAUAUAUUAAAGGGCUGCAGUAUAUUGACUGUACAAAGGUAGCAUAAUCAUUAGUCUUUUAAUUGAAGACUUGUAUGAAAGAUUUGAUGAAAUAUAAACUGUCUCUAAUUUAUGUUUAGAAAUUAAUUUUUUAGUUAAAAAGCUAAAAUGACAUUAAAAGACGAGAAGACCCUAUAGAGUUUUAUAUUUUAUUUAAUUAAUAUUAAAUAUAUAAUUAAAUAUAUUAAUUAAAUAAAUUAUUGUGUUGGGGUGAUAGAAAAAUUUAAUAAACUUUUUUUAAAUUUAAACAUAAAUAAGUGGUUGAUUGAUCCAUUAAUAAUGAUUAAAAGAAAAAAUUACCUUAGGGAUAACAGCGUAAUAUUUUUUUUUAGUACUUAUAAAAAAAAAAGUUUGCGACCUCGAUGUUGGAUUAAGAUAAAAUUUAAAUGCAAAAGUUUAAAGUUUUGAUCUGUUCGAUCAUUAAAAUCUUACAUGA
rnacentral:rRNA from 1 species